rnacentral:rRNA from 1 species
GACGAACGCUGGCGGCGUGCCUAAUACCUGCAAGUCGAGCGAGCGGCGGACGGGUGAGUAAUGUCUGGGAAACUGCCUGAUGGAGGGGGCUACCUACUGGAAACGGUAGCUAAUACUGCAUACCAUCAGAUGUGCCCCGAUGGGAUUCGCGAGUAGGUGGGGUAACGGCUCACCUAGGCGACGAUCCCUAGCUGGUCUGCGAGGAUGACCAGCCACACUGGAACUGAGACACGGUCCAGACUCCUACGGGAGGCAGCAGUGGGGAAUAUUGCACAAUGGGCGCAAGCCUGAUGCAGCCAUGCCGCGUGUGUGAAGAAGGCCUUCGGGUUGUAAAGCACUUUCAGCGGGGAGGCGUUACCCGCAGAAGAAGCACCGGCUAACUCCGUGCCAGCAGCCGCGGUAAUAC